rnacentral:rRNA from 1 species
GACGUAGGGCGCGAGCGUUGUCCGGAUUUAUUGGGCGUAAAGAGCUCGUAGGCGGCUCGUUGCGUCGGCUGUGAAAACCCGCAGCUCAACUGUGGGCUUGCAGCGAUACGGGCGGGCUAGAAUCGGUAGGGGAGACUGGAAUUCCUGGUGUAGCGGUGAAAUGCGCAGAUAUCAGGAGGAACACCGGUGGCGAAGGCGGGUCUCUGGGCCGAUAUUGACGCUGAGGAGCGAAAGCGUGGGGAGCGAACAGG